GACGAACGCUGGCGGCGUGCUUAACACAUGCAAGUCGAGCGGUAAGGCCCUUCGGGUACACGAGCGGCGAACGGGUGAGUAACACGUGGGUGACCUGCCUCUAGCUCUGGGAUAAGCCUGGGAAACUGGGUCUAAUACCGGAUAUGACUCCACGGCGCAUGUUGUGGGUGGAAAGCCUUGUGUGGCUAGAGAUGGGCCCGCGGCCUAUCAGCUUGUUGGUGGGGNGAUGGCCUACCAAGGCGACGACGGGUAGCCGGCCUGAGAGGGCGACCGGCCACACUGGGACUGAGACACGGCCCAGACUCCUACGGGAGGCAGCAGUGGGAAUCUUGCGCAAUGGGCGAAAGCCUGACGCAGCGACGCCGCGUGAGGGAUGACGGCCUU
rnacentral:rRNA from 1 species